CACGUAGGGCGCAAGCGUUGUCCGGAAUUAUUGGGCGUAAAGAGCUCGUAGGCGGUUCGUCGCGUCGGCUGUGAAAACCUGAGGCUCAACCUCAGGCCUGCAGUCGAUACGGGCGGACUUGAGUACUGCAGGGGAGACUGGAAUUCCUGGUGUAGCGGUGAAAUGCGCAGAUAUCAGGAGGAACACCGGUGGCGAAGGCGGGUCUCUGGGCAGUAACUGACGCUGAGGAGCGAAAGCGUGGGGAGCGAACAGG
rnacentral:rRNA from 1 species